UUCUUGGAAAAAUGAGGUUAAGUUCGGUUUUUCUUUGAUCUGAUGGCCUAAAAUAGCUGUAGCUUCAUCAUCCGUACUAAGAUAUAAAGUACGAAAAUAAUUUGAUUUAUUUGUUACGUUUCUAAACUCAUAUCAUGAUUUUUACGAAAUUCGCUAUGCAUUUAGUAAAAUUUUAGUUAUCAUCACUUUUCAUUGCAGAGUAGUGCGAUGAAAGAUCGACAGUGUUAGCCUGCAUACUAACUACAAAGUGUAGUCCACGCGUGCGAAGCUCUGGGCAGUUACCUGAUACGAAAUUAACGGUUCCGAGAAUGAGACAAAGCACAAAAGAAGUUAUGGAGUUUAGUUUAUUAAAUUAAUAUUCUGUUCCAGUUACGACAUUUUUUGUAAAUAUGUACCUACAUAAACUUCUCUGACAAUAGAAUAAAGCCGUUUUCGAAAAACAAUAAUAUGUACUGAUCAUUGUUUCACGAUACUUUUGUUUUAUUGGUAUCUGUAAAAACUGUAAAUUAUUUCAUAAUCUGUGACGAGUAUUAAAAAAAGAGGUCACACGCAAAAA